GAUGAAGAACGCAGCGAAAUGCGAUAAGUAAUGUGAAUUGCAGAAUUCAGUGAAUCAUCGAAUCUUUGAACGCACCUUGCGCUCCUUGGUAUUCCAAAGAGCAUGCCUGUUUGAGUAUCAUUAAAUUAUCAACUGUACCAAUUUGGUUGCAGAUUGGAUGUGGGAGAUUUUGCAGGCUUUUGAUUUCUCUUUGAGAAAACGGUCAGCUCUCCUGAAAUAUAUUAGCAGUGCCUUUGUUGGUUCAUUAGGUGUGAUAAUUUAUCUACAUCUUAAAAUGGUACCUUCAUUUGUGUAAAGGUCAUAUUGCUUCUAAUUGUCUUUGGACAUAAAAAAAAAAAAACAUAUAAUUGUAUGGAAAACUUGAUCUCAAAUCAGGCAGGACUACCCGCUGAACUUAAGCAUAUCAAUAAGCGGAGGA
rnacentral:misc_RNA from 1 species